AUUUUUCUUACAUCUCCUCUGCACCAGGGUUCUUAGGGCGAAACCAUCACUUCUCUAAAAAUUACAUUACUGAACAAAAUCACUGAAAUUCACCUAUAACUUGUGUUAAGGGAACAAUAUAGGCACCCAGACCACUUAAUUUCAAUGAAUUAAGUUUUAUGGUGCGAGGAGGUCUCGACCUGUGACCUACCUCCAGGGGUUAAACUAUUAAUAAACUUGUGAGUCCUCUGCAGUGGGAGGGGGUUGAUGAAGAGACCCUAAAGAUAAGGAAUAAGAUAUGCAGAUGCUGGGAAUAAGACAUGCAGAAGGGGGGAGUGAGACAUGCAAGUGGGGAGUAAAAACUAUAAAAG